rnacentral:rRNA from 1 species
GUGCCAGCAGCCGCGGUAAGACGGAGGAUGCAAGCGUUAUCCGGAAUGAUUGGGCGUAAAGCGUCCGCAGGUGGCAAUUCAAGUCUGCUGUUAAAGCGCAGGGCUUAACUCUGUAAAGGCAGUGGAAACUGAAUAGCUAGAGUGUGGUAGGGGCAGAGGGAAUUCCCAGUGUAGCGGUGAAAUGCGUAGAGAUUGGGAAGAACAUCGGUGGCGAAGGCGCUCUGCUGGACCAUAACUGACACUCACAGGACGAAAGCUAGGGGAGCGAAUGGGAUUAGAUACCCCAGUAGUCCUAGCCGUAAACGAUGGAUACUAGGUGUUGUCUGUAUCGACCCGGACAGUGCCGUAGCUAACGCGUUAAGUAUCCCGCCUGGGGAGUACGCACGCAAGUGUGAAACUCAAAUGAAUUGGCGGGG